rnacentral:tRNA from 1 species
GCCUGGCUGGCUCAAUCAGUGGAGUGUGAGACUCUUGAUCUUGGAGGUGUGGGUUCAAGCCCCACUUUGGGUG